GCUCAUUGCCACUAGUUACUACACUCCUUCACGCCGCUGAGCUCGUUGUUGCCGCCGACGGCUCUUUCUCGCCAUUGCUACUCAGCUUCUUUGAGAAGGAAACACCACUAGGUUUGACCACACGAUCUGCUCACCUAGUGUUCAACAUUGAAUGAAGAAAAAAUAUUUGAAGUUCAGGACAGCUUAUCACUAUUUCCUUUAGGCUGGAUACAUGUAAGCUCCAUUAUCUUGACUGUCACUUAUUCAUUCUUAGCUCUGAUGGGGGUUGAACCAUCAAUGUUUUCCCCAAUAGUAGAUAGUUAGAUACA